rnacentral:rRNA from 1 species
UAAGGAAUAUUGCGCAAUGGGCGACAGCCUGACGCAGCGACGCCGCGUGGGGGAUGAAGGUCUUCGGAUUGUAAACCCCUUUCGGCAGGGAAGAUGGAACGGGUAACCGUUCGGACGGUACCUGCAGAAGCAGCCACGGCUAACUUCGUGCCAGCAGCCGCGGUAAUACGAAGGUGGCAAGCGUUGUUCGGAUUUACUGGGCGUACAGGGAGCGUAGGCGGUUGGGUAAGCCCUCCGUGAAAUCUCCGGGCCUGACCCGGAAAGUGCGGAGGGGACUGCUCGGCUAGAGGAUGGGAGAGGAGCGCGGAAUUCCCGGUGUAGCGGUGAAAUGCGUAGAGAUCGGGAGGAAGGCCGGUGGCGAAGGCGGCGCUCUGGAACAUUUCUGACGCUGAGGCUCGAAAGCGUGGGGAGCAAACAGGAUUAGAUACCCAUGUAGUCCCUGAGCGGGCUGGCAAGGCGCAU